GACGUAGGGCGCGAGCGUUGUCCGGAUUUAUUGGGCGUAAAGAGCUCGUAGGCGGCUCGUUGCGUCGGCUGUGAAAACCCGCAGCUCAACUGUGGGCUUGCAGCUGAUACGGGCGGGCUGGGAUUCGGUAGGGGAGACUGGAAUUCCUGGUGUAGCGGUGAAAUGCGCAGAUAUCAGGAGGAACACCGGUGGCGAAGGCGGGUCUCUGGGCCGAUAUCGACGCUGAGGAGCGAAAGCGUGGGGAGCGAGCAGG
rnacentral:rRNA from 1 species